rnacentral:rRNA from 1 species
AACGAACGCUGGCGGCAGGCUUAACACAUGCAAGUCGAACGCGUGUAGCAAUACACGAGUGGCGCACGGGUGAGUAACGCGUGGAUAUCUGCCUUUUGGUUCGGAAUAACUCCGGGAAACUGGAGCUAAUACCGGAUGGUUCCUUCGGGAUAAAGAUUUAUCGCCAAAAGAUGAGUCCGCGUACGAUUAGCUAGUUGGUGAGGUAAUGGCUCACCAAGGCGACGAUCGUUAGCUGGUCUGAGAGGACGAUCAGCCACACUGGGACUGAGACACGGCCCAGACUCCUACGGGAGGCAGCAGUGGGGAAUAUUGGACAAUGGGGGCAACCUUGAUCCAGCCAUGCCGCGUGAGUGAUGAAGGCCUUCGGGUUGUAAAGCUCUUUUGGCGGGGACGAUGAUGACGGUACCCGCAGAAUAAGCCCCGGCUAACUUCGUGCCAGCCGCCGCAGUAA